UUCCCCGUGUUUCCUGAUCCUGCCCUGGGUCUGCAGUCAUAGUUCUGGAAACUUCUCUUGGGUCCAAGACUAGGAGGUUCCCCUAAGAUCGCAUGGCCCUGCCUCCUCCCUGUCCCCUCACAGGGCAUUUUCUUCCCACAGGUGGAAAAGGAGGGAGCUGCUCUCAGGCUGCGUGUAAGUGAUGGCGGUGGGCGUGUGGAGGAGCUCACCCACCCCAUAAUUCCUCUUGUCCCACAUCUCCUGCGGGCUCUGACCAGGUCUUUUUUUUUGUUCUACCCCAGCCAGCAACAGUGCCCAGGGCUCUGAUGAGUCUCUCAUCGCUUGUAAAGCCUGAGACAGCUGCCUGUGUGGGACUGAGAUGCAGGAUUUCUUCACACCUCUCCUUUGUGACUUCAAGAGCCUCUGGCAUCUCUUUCUGCAAAGGCAUCUGAAUGUGUCUGCGUUCCUGUUAGCAUAAUGUGAGGAGGUGGAGAGACAGCCCACCCCCGUGUCCACCGUGACCCCUGUCCCCACACUGACCUGUGUUCCCUCCCCGAUCAUCUUUCCUGUUCCAGAGAAGUGGGCUGGAUGUCUCCAUCUCUGUCUCAACUUUACGUGUACUGAGCUGCAACUUCUUACUUCCCUACUGAAAAUAAGAAUCUGAAUAUAAAUUUGUUUUCUCAAAUAUUUGCUAUGAGAGGUUGAUGGAUUAAUUAAAUAAGUCAAUUCCUGGAAGUUGAGAGAGCAAAUAAAGACCUGAGAACCUUCCAGAA
rnacentral:lncRNA from 1 species